rnacentral:tRNA from 1 species
GCCCUAUAGCUCACUGGAUAGAGCUCGGACUUUUAAUCCGCAGGUCGUAGGUUCGAGCCCUACUGGGGGCA